GUUGUUGUACCUGCUUACAGCUCAUCUGCUGCAUUCCUACUUGAGGGUCCCCAGGCUGCGGCUUGCUUAGAUCUGGAAUUGCCAUCCAGCAUAUGGCUGCCCUCACCUGCUCCAAUCCAUAUAUAUACAUCUGCAGUGUGAUGUUAAAAGUGUUGGGGCUAAAAUCAAGGUGGUGAAGGACCUCCUCGGCAGAACGAAAUCACAGCAUCCUCAGGAGGGUGAUGGCAUGUGGUAAGAAGCUCUGGACAGGACCAGGAGGAGAGGCCAGGGCUGGAGCAAGUCUGUAUCCUGCUGCAGCCCCGUUGCCCCCACGCUGUGUCCUGUUGCACCCUGGAGGAAGCAGAAUGGUGCUUGUGCUGCUUCAGGAAUAAGUGUGACCGUAUGGCGGUGUCAUUCCCUCACCAGGUGGUGGCAUGCAGUGGUGACAUUCCCUAACUGCCCGCAGUGGAUCUAGCACACAAGUCCAAGAGCCCACAAGUCCAAGAGAGUUCACAGAGCGCUUCUCCACCCUGCUUUGGUGCAGGUUCCUGAGCCAAUAUCGCUGUGCCAUGUACUGCUCUUUGGAUGUACAAGCUCUCCUAAGGUCAAUACAGCCCGGAUGCAAUGCCAGGUCUAAGAUCAUCAGAAAAGGAGCUGAGUUGUACUUCCAGCACAGGACACGGGGAGGAAGUGGUGGGACCAGGAGCAGAAGGGGAGACAGCAGCAGCCUCAGACCCAGGGGACUGUGA
rnacentral:lncRNA from 1 species